CUCAUCCCACCUGGAUAAUAACAGAUGCCUGUCUCAAAUGGAGGAACUGCUGCCUACAGAUCAAGACCCUAAACCACUGCUGCAACACAAUGAUUCUGCGAAGCACUUCCUGAUGAAGCAGAUCUUAGAGCCUUUAUCCAGUUACUGAUGGAAGCAGAUGCAGAGAUCCACAGCCAAGCACUGGGAGGAGCUCCGGGAGUCCUCCUGAAGAAAGCUUCCCUGAAGGCAACCACAGCUCUGAAAAAAGCUCGGAGAACUGCCCAUCGGAAAACAGCUACAGGAUCAAUUCCAGUCAUCCCAGAGACAAAGGCAUUCCUGCUACUUCUCAGAAGAGCCACAAUGUCUGGACGCAUAUGAUCUGUAUUUUUUUCCCGAAAAUCCUAUGUGAAAAAAGUACCAGUAAUAUUUGUGAAAAAGACUAUUCAAAUCAAGAAGAUAAUAGGUGACAGGUUUGAAUGGUGCGUGAACAGAAAUUAUGAAAUUGAAUUCUAUUCUGAGUAGCUAUCUGAACAAGAUAUCUUCCAAAAAGUGCUGGCCAAGUCUGAAACUACUGAAUUAUGUAAUAAAUACAGAAUGAACACAAUUUUAUUGUGGAUUAUUAGACAGUCAAUUUGAAGGGGUAUUAGAUAAAAUGGUAAGAUAGCUAGCUAAAAGAGCCAGUCUUGAGAAAACUAGGCAAAAGAGCACCUUACUUGUUCUCUGUGGAGACAGUGGACAGGGUAGAAGUAAAGCAAUAAAGCAGGGGCAGAACAGAUGGGAAAAGUGCAAGUGGUGGGAAAAUAGACAAAUAACAUACUUAAGGUCUAUAAGGUAUAGCUUGGUUUUAUUUUGAUUCAUUCAAUGAUAAAAGGAAGGGAAAUGUAAUGAUAGCAGCCAGUUGGUGUUUUAUAAACAUCUGUGGCUGCACAGAGAAUGAAUAAUAUAGAAGAAUGAAGGACCUUUGUUAUUUUUGAUACCUAUAAUUUAUAUAUGUUUCUAUUAUCAGCUCUUUUUAUAGAACACUGUUUAUAUUACUAUGUAGAAUGGAACUAACAUUAGACUUUGUUGAUGUCUUUUUUUUUUUUUCCAAUUUUGGUGGGUUUUGUUUUGUUUUGAGACAGGGUAUCACUACAUAGCCCUGGGUGGUCCUGGGACUCAUUAUGUAGAGCAGGCUAGUUGAACUCAAAGAGAUCCUACUACUGCUGCCUCAGAAGUGCUGGGAUUAAAGGUGUAUGCCACCACCCCCAGAAGCUUUAUUGAUUUCUUUUUCAUUCUUUUUAUUGUGUUGAUUUCUGAUCUUUAUCAUGUCCUUCUCAUUCUACUGGGUUCAAUGUGCUGUUUUCCGAGUUUCUUGAGAUGAAAUAUGAUAUAAUUACUUUUCAACUUUUCAUCCUAAUUUCUUUUCAAGCAUUUGUCUAAAAUGAUUCUACAAACUUUAACAUACUGCAUUUCUAACUAAUCAGUUGAAAACAGAUCUUAUUAGAAUAGCAAGUAAUUUUAGUUGUGAUCUUCUAGAUUGGUUCAUCAACUACUUAGAAGAGUUUUGCUUAAUGUUUCCAUGCAAUACAGCAAUAAAAUGAAAUCUUGAGAUGAG